AUUGAACGCUGGCGGCAGGCCUAACACAUGCAAGUCGAGCGGAUGAAGGGAGCUUGCUCCUGGAUUCAGCGGCGGACGGGUGAGUAAUGCCUAGGAAUCUGCCUGGCAGUGGGGGAUAACGUCCGGAAACGGGCGCUAAUACCGCAUACGUCCUGCGGGAGCAAGUGGGGGAUCUUCGGACCUCACGCUAUCAGAUGAGCCUAGGUCGGAUUAGCUAGUUGGUGGGGUAAAGGCCUACCAAGGCGACGAUCCGUAACUGGUCUGAGAGGAUGAUCAGUCACACUGGAACUUGGACACGGUCCAGACUCCUACGGGAGGCAGCAGUGGGGAAUAUUGGACAAUGGGCGAAAGCCUGAUCCAGCCAUGCCGCGUGUGUGAAGAAGGUCUUCGGAUUGUAAAGCACUUUAAGUCGGGAGGAAGGGCAGUAAGUUAAUACCUUGCUGUUUUGACGUUACCAACAGAAUAAGCACCGGCUAACUUCGUG
rnacentral:rRNA from 1 species